CCUACGGGCGGCAGCAGUGGGGAAUAUUGGGCAAUGGGCGCAAGCCUGACCCAGCAACGCCGCGUGAAGGAAGAAGGCUUUCGGGUUGUAAACUUCUUUUAAGAGGGACGAGCAGAAGACCGUUCCUCUUGAAUAAACCACGGCUAACUACGGGCCAGCAGCCGCGGUAAUACGUAGGUGGCAAGCGUUUUCCGGAAUUACUGGGUGGAAAGGGCGUGUAGCCGGGAUGUCAAGUCAGAUGUGAAAUUCCGGGGCUCAACCCGUGACCUGCAUUUGAAACUGUUGGUCUUGAGGAUCGGAGAGGCAGGCGGAAUUCCUAGUGUAGCGGUGAAAUGCGUAGAUAUUAGGAGGAACACCAGUGGCGAAGGCGGUCUGCUGGACGACAACUGACGGUGAGGCGCGAAAGCGUGGGGAGCAAACAGGAUUAGAUACCCUAGUAGUC
rnacentral:rRNA from 1 species